AAGUCGUAACAAGGUUUCCGUAGGUGAACCUGCGGAAGGAUCAUUAACACGUAUCCAACGUUAAACAACCCUGUGAACCUUCAUUCCUGCUUGGCUUCUGCGGGGCAGUUAGUGGGUGAAAGUGCCACUGAUUGCUUAAGCAGAUAACCGAUUAAAACUCGGAUCAUCGAGUGCCCACACGGCCGAUGAACAAGUCUCUGGGCGCAAGCCCCCAAAUUAACUACCUCUAAGCCUUAGCGGCCGCCUCGUGCUGUCGCUGUCGUGAAAGCUGAACAACUGUUAACAAUGGAUAUCUUGGUUCUC
rnacentral:misc_RNA from 1 species